ACAGCCACAUCAUGUCGAAACACCGGUUCCCAUACGAUAACCGAAGUUAAGCAACAUCGAGUCUGGUCAGUACCUAGAUAGGUGACCGUUUGAGAAUGUCAGGUGCUGUAAG